AGAUGCGGCCUUCCAGCCAGG
rnacentral:misc_RNA from 1 species